rnacentral:rRNA from 1 species
UAACGCGAAGAACCUUACCUGGGUUUGACAUAUGCCGGAAAGCUGCAGAGAUGUAGCCCCCGCAAGGUCGGUAUACAGGUGGUGCAUGGCUGUCGUCAGCUCGUGUCGUGAGAUGUUGGGUUAAGCCCCGCAACGAGCGCAACCCUCGUCCUAUGUUGCCAGCACGUCAUGGUGGGGACUCAUAGGAGACUGCCGGGGUCAACUCGGAGGAAGGUGGGGAUGACGUCAAGUCAUCAUGCCCCUUAAGUCCAGGGCUUCACGCAUGCUACAAUGGCUGGUACAAAGGGCUGCGAUACCGCAAGGUGGAGCGAAUCCCAAAAAGCCAGUCUCAGUUCGGAUUGGGGUCUGCAACUCGACCCCAUGAAGUCGGAGUCGCUAGUAAUCGCAGAUCAGCAACGCUGCGGUGAAUACGUUCCCGGGUCUUGUACACACCGA